rnacentral:rRNA from 1 species
GCUGGACGUCGAGCGGCGGACGGGUGAGUAACGGCUGGGAACCUGCCCUGACGAGGGGGAUAACCGUUGGAAACGACGGCUAAUACCGCAUAAUGUCUACGGACCAAAGGUGGCCUCUACAUGUAAGCUAUCGCGUUGGGAUGGGCCCAGUUAGGAUUAGCUAGUUGGUAAGGUAAUGGCUUACCAAGGCGACGAUCCUUAGCUGGUUUGAGAGGAUGAUCAGCCACACUGGGACUGAGACACGGCCCACACUCCUACGGGAGGCAGCAGUGGGGAAUAUUGCACAAUGGGGGAGACCCUGAUGCAGCCAUGCCGCGUGUGUGAAGAAGGCCUUCGGGUUGUAAAGCACUUUCAGCAGUGAGGAAGGUGGUGUACUUAAUACGUGCAUUGCUUGACGUUAGCUGCAGAAGAAGCACCGGCUAACUCCGUGCCAGCAGCCGCGGUAAUACGGAGGGUGCGAGCGUUAAUCGGAAUUACUGGGCGUAAAGCGCAUGCAGGCGGUUUGUUAAGUCAGAUGUGAAAGCCCGGGGCUCAACCUCGGAACCGCAUUUGAAACUGGCAGGCUAGAGUCUUGUAGAGGGGGGUAGAAUUUCAGGUGUAGCGGUGAAAUGCGUAGAGAUCUGAAGGAAUACCAGUGGCGAAGGCGGCCCCCUGGACAAAGACUGACGCUCAGAUGCGAAAGCGUGGGUAGCAAACAGGAUUAGAUACCCUGGUAGUCCACGCCGUAAACGCUGUCUACUUGGAGGUUGAGGUUUAAGACUUUGGCUUUCGGCGCUAACGCAUUAAGUAGACCGCCUGGGGAGUACGGCCGCAAGGUUAAAACUCAAAUGAAUUGACGGGGGCCCGCACAAGCGGUGGAGCAUGUGGUUUAAUUCGAUGCAACGCGAAGAACCUUACCUACUCUUGACAUCCAGAGAACCUUCCAGAGAUAGAUUAGUGCCUUCGGGAGCUCUGAGACAGGUGCUGCAUGGCUGUCGUCAGCUCGUGUUGUGAAAUGUUGGGUUAAGUCCCGCAACGAGCGCAACCCUUAUCCUUGUUUGCCAGCACGUAAUGGUGGGAACUCCAGGGAGACUGCCGGUGAUAAACCGGAGGAAGGUGGGGACGACGUCAAGUCAUCAUGGCCCUUACGAGUAGGGCUACACACGUGCUACAAUGGCAGAUACAGAGGGCAGCGAAGCUGCGAAGUGGAGCGAAUCCCUUAAAGUCUGUCGUAGUCCGGAUUGGAGUCUGCAACUCGACUCCAUGAAGUCGGAAUCGCUAGUAAUCGUGGAUCAGAAUGCC